ACUUGUAGAUACAUUACCUAAGUAGGUAUAAUAUCAUAUAGACAGUAACAAAUCAUACAAGGACUAUAAUUAGAAGAUUUUUCACUAAGGAAAUUUAGAAAUAUUACCCCAGGUUAUUAAAUGAUCUAAAUCACUUGAGAAAUAAAGAAAUGAUGGCUCAUAUUGGAUAAAGAAGAUAGGAAAAAAAAGUAAAUCGAAAAUGUUGGCUCCUUUGGAAAGUUAUUACUCAGCCUGAUAUAUCAAUUAAUUUGCCAAAGUUCCCCCUGCAAACCAAACAAUAAUCAGCACUCCUACAGGGUACUCUGCCAUCCAAAUUAAGCACAUAUCACUUGUAGAUACAUUACCUAAACCUAAGUAUAAUAUCAUUCAGACAGUAACAAAUCAUACAAGGACUAUAAUUAGUAGAUUUUUCACUAAGGAAAUUUAGAAAUAUUACCCCAGGUUAUUAAAUGAUCUAAAUCACUUGAGAAAUAAAGAAAUGAUGGCUCAUAUUGGAUAAAGAAGAUAGGAAAAAAAGUAAAUCGAAAAUGUUGGCUCCUUUGGAAAGUUAUUACUCAGCCUGAUAUAUCAAUUAAUUUGUCAAAGUUUCCCCUGCAAACCAAACAAUAAUCAGAACUCCUACAGGGUAUUCUGCCAUCCAAAUUAAGCACAUACCACUUGUAGAUACAUUACCUAAGUAGGUAUAAUAUCAUAUAGACAGUAACAAAUCAUACAAGGACUAUAAUUAGAAGAUUUUUCACUAAGGAAAUUUAGAAAUAUUACCCCAGGUUUUUAAAUGAUCUAAAUCACUUGAGAAAUAAAGAAAUGAUGGCUCAUAUUGGAUAAAGAAGAUAGGAAAAAAAGUAAAUCGAAAAUGUUGGCUCCUUUGGAAAGUUAUUACUCAGCCUGAUAUAUCAAUUAAUUUGUCAAAAUUUCCCCUGCAAACCAACCAAUAAUCAGCACUCCUACAGGGUAUUCUGCCAUCCAAAUUAAGCACAUAUCACUUGUAGAUACAUUACCUAAGUAGGUAUAAUAUCAUAUAGACAGUAACAAAUCAUACAAGGACUAUAAUUAGAAGAUUUUUCACUAAGGAAAUUUAGGAAUAUUACCCCAGGUUAUUAAAUGAUCUAAAUCACUUGAGAAAUAAAGAAAUGAUGGCUCAUAUUGGAUAAAGAAGAUAGGAAAAAAAAGUAAAUCGAAAAUGUUGGCUCCUUUGGAAAGUUAUUACUCAGCCUGAUAUAUCAAUUAAUUUGUCAAAGUUUCCCCUGCAAACCAAACAAUAAUCAGCACUCCUACAGGGUAUUCUGCCAUCCAAAUUAAGCACAUAUCACUUGUAGAUACAUUACCUAAACCUAAGUAUAAUAUCAUUCAAACAGUAACAAAUCAUACAAGGACUAUAAUUAGUAGAUUUUUCACUAAGGAAAUUUAGGAAUAUUACCCCAGGUUAUUAAAUGAUCUAAAUCACUUGAGAAAUAAAGAAAUGAUGGCUCAUAUUGGAUAAAGAAGAUAGGAAAAAAAGUAAAUCGAAAAUGUUGGCUCCUUUGGAAAGUUAUUACUCAGCCUGAUAUAUCAAUUAAUUUGUCAAAGUUCCCCCUGCAAACCAAACAAUAAUCAGCACUCCUACAGGGUACUCUGCCAUCCAAAUUAAGCACAUAUCACUUGUAGAUACAUUACCUAAACCUAAGUAAAAUAUCAUUCAGACAGUAAGAAAUCAUACAAGGACUAUAAUUAGUAGAUUUUUCACUAAGGAAAUUUAGAAAUAUUACCCCAGGUUAUUAAAUGAUCUAAAUCACUUGAAAAAUAAAGAAAUGAUGGCUCAUAUUGGAUAAAGGAGAUAGGAAAAAAAAGUAAAUCGAAAAUGUUGGCUCCUUUGGAAAGUUAUUACUCGGACUGAUAUAUCAAUUAAUUUGUCAAAGUUCCCCCUGCAAACCAAACAAUAAUCAGCACUCCUACAGGGUACUCUGCCAUCCAAAUUAAGCACAUAUCACUUGUAGAUACAUUACCUAAACCUAAGUAUAAUAUCAUUCAGACAGUAACAAAUCAUACAAGGACUAUAAUUAGUAGAUUUUUCACUAAGGAAAUUUAGAAAUAUUACCCCAGGUUAUUAAAUGAUCUAAAUCACUUG